rnacentral:rRNA from 1 species
GACGAACGCUGGCGGUGUGCUUAACACAUGCAAGUCGAACGGUAAGGCCCUUUCGGGGGUACACGAGUGGCGAACGGGUGAGUAACACGUGAGUAACCUGCCCUCAUCUCUGGGAUAACAGUCGGAAACGGUUGCUAAUACUGGAUAUGAGCUUGCAAGGCAUCUUGUGGGUUGGAAAGAUUUUUUUUGGUUGGGGAUGGACUCGCGGCCUAUCAGCUUGUUGGUGAGGUAGUGGCUCACCAAGGCUUCGACGGGUAGCCGGCCUGAGAGGGCGACCGGCCACAUUGGGACUGAGAUACGGCCCAAACUCCUACGGGAGGCAGCAGUGGGGAAUAUUGCACAAUGGACGGAAGUCUGAUGCAGCAACGCCGCGUGCGGGAUGACGGCCUUCGGGUUGUAAACCGCUUUCGAUUGUGACGAAGCUUUUUUGUGACGGUAGCAGUAGAAGAAGCACCGGCUAACUACGUG